rnacentral:rRNA from 1 species
UGUAAGCGUAUACCAAAGUUGUUGCAGUUAAAACGCUCGUAGUCGGAAUUUGGCAGUUCCGGAUGUGUGCACGUCGUGUGCGCACUUCGCGGGGAUUGCUUUUGUGGUCUUGCAUAGGAUGAGGCACUUUUAUUAGUGAACGUCCUCACGCAACCACUUUUUACUGUGAGAAAAUCAGAGUGCUCAAAGCAGGCAUUUGCCGUGAAUGUAUUAGCAUGGAAUAAUAGAAUAGGACUUGGUUCUAUUUUGUUGGUUUGUUGGGACUGAGUAAUGAUUAAGAGGGACAGUUGGGGGCAUUUGUAUUUCGGUGUUAGAGGUGAAAUUCUUAGAUUACCGAAAGACAAACUGCUGCGAAAGCGUCUGCCAAGGAUGUUUUCAUUGA